GCCGAGGUGGCCCAGUUGGUAGAGCGCCGCGCUGAAAACGCGGAGGCCGCCGGUUCGAUUCCGGCCCUCGGCA
rnacentral:tRNA from 1 species